AGAGUUUGAUCCUGGCUCAGGACGAACGCUGGCGGCGUGCUUAACACAUGCAAGUCGAACGUGAUUUUUAUGGAAAGCCCUUCGGGGACGGAAAUGAAAUGAAAGUGGCGAACGGGUGAGUAACACGUGAGCAACCUACCUUACACAGGGGGAUAGCCGUUGGAAACGACGAUUAAUACCGCAUGAGACCACAAAGCCACAUGGCUUAGGGGUAAAAGAUUUAUCGGUGUAAGAUGGGCUCGCGUCUGAUUAGCUAGUUGGAAGGGUAGAGGCCUACCAAGGCGACGAUCAGUAGCCGGUCUGAGAGGAUGAACGGCCACAUUGGAACUGAGACACGGUCCAAACUCCUACGGGAGGCAGCAGUGGGGAAUAUUGCACAAUGGGGGGAACCCUGAUGCAGCGACGCCGCGUGAGCGAAGAAGGUUUUCGAAUCGUAAAGCUCUGUCCUAUGAGAAGAUAAUGACGGUAUCAUAGGAGGAAGCCCCGGCUAAAUACGUGCCAGCAGCCGCGGU
rnacentral:rRNA from 1 species